rnacentral:rRNA from 1 species
GACAGAGGGUGCAAACGUUGCUCGGAAUCACUGGGCGUAAAGGGCGUGUAGGCGGAUAGAUAAGUCGGGCGUGAAAGCCCCAGGCUCAACCUGGGAACUGCACUCGAAACUGUUUAUCUUGGGUGCCGGAGAGGAAAGCGGAAUACCUGGUGUAGAGGUGAAAUUCGUAGAUAUCAGGUGGAACACCAGUGGCGAAGGCGGCUUUCUGGUCUGUAACUGACGCUGAGGCGCGAAAGCGUGGGGAGCAAACAGG